CACAGCACUCAGCUGUUGCCAAGGAGGUGGAGGGAGUGGCAUGUGGGGACAUCAGAUCGUUGCCUGACGAAAGGAGCUGAUCCCUGUCCAUCCCACAUCCCCUGGUGCCAACUAGGCUUUGAAGGGAUGUUAAGAAAUCCACCCACAG